rnacentral:tRNA from 1 species
GGGGAUGUGGCUCAGUGGUAGAGUGCUUGCCUAGCAUCUAUGAGGUCCUGGGUUCAAUCCCCAGCACCA